rnacentral:rRNA from 1 species
AUUGAACGCUGGCGGCAUGCCUUACACAUGCAAGUCGAACGGCAGCACGGGAGCAAUCCUGGUGGCGAGUGGCGAACGGGUGAGUAAUAUAUCGGAACGUGCCCAGUCGUGGGGGAUAACGCAGCGAAAGCUGUGCUAAUACCGCAUACGAUCUACGGAUGAAAGCGGGGGAUCGCAAGACCUCGCGCGAUUGGAGCGGCCGAUAUCAGAUUAGCAAGUUGGUGGGGUAAAGGCCCACCAAGGCGACGAUCUGUAGCUGGUCUGAGAGGACGACCAGCCACACUGGAACUGAGACACGGUCCAGACUCCUACGGGAGGCAGCAGUGGGGAAUUUUGGACAAUGGGCGCAAGCCUGAUCCAGCAAUGCCGCGUGCAGGAUGAAGGCCUUCGGGUUGUAAACUGCUUUUGUACGGAACGAAACGGCCCUUUCUAAUACAGGGGGCUAAUGACGGUACCGUAAGAAUAAGCACCGGCUAACUACGUGCCAGCAGCCGCCGUAACAC